rnacentral:rRNA from 1 species
CCUACGUGUGGCAGCAGUGGGGAAUAUUGCACAAUGGGGGAAACCCUGAUGCAGCGACGCCGCGUGAGUGAAGAAGUAUUUCGGUAUGUAAAGCUCUAUCAGCAGGGAAGAAAAUGACGGUACCUGAUUAAGAAGCCCCGGCUAACUACGUGCCAGCAGCCGCGGUAAUACGUAGGGGGCAAGCGUUAUCCGGAUUUACUGGGUGUAAAGGGAGCGUAGACGGCAGCGCAAGUCUGAAGUGAAAUGCCGGGGCUUAACCCAGGAACUGCUUUGGAAACUGUGCAGCUAGAGUGCAGGAGAGGGAAGUGGAAUUCCGGGUGUAGGGGUGAAAUGCGGAGAUAUCAGGAGGAACACCAGUGGCGAAGGCGGCUGACUGGACUGUAACUGACGUUGAGGCUCGAAAGCGUGGGGAGCAAACAGGAUUAGAUACCCUUGUAGUC